ACACAUGCAAGUCGAACGGCAGCACGGACUUCGGUCUGGUGGCGAGUGGCGAACGGGUGAGUAAUACAUCGGAACGUGUCCUGGAGUGGGGGAUAGCCCGGCGAAAGCCGGAUUAAUACCGCAUACGCUCUGAGGAGGAAAGGGGGGGAUCGAAAGACCUCUCGCUCAACGGGCGGCCGAUGGCAGAUUAGCUAGUUGGUGGGGUAAAGGCCUACCAACGCGACGAUCUGUAGCUGGUCUGAGAGGACGACCAGCCACGCUGGGACUGAGACACGGCCCACA
rnacentral:rRNA from 1 species